UACGGGGGGAGCAAGCGUUGUUCGGAUUUACUGGGCGUAAAGGGCGCGUAGGCGGCCUCUGCAAGUCGACUGUGAAAUCUCCGGGCUUAACCCGGAAAGGUCAGCCGAUACUGCAGGGCUAGAGUGCAGAAGGGGCAACUGGAAUUCUCGGUGUAGCGGUGAAAUGCGUAGAUAUCGAGAGGAACACCUGCGGCGAAGGCGGGUUGCUGGGCUGACACGUGACGCUGGACAGCGCGAAAGCUAGGGGAGCGAACGGG
rnacentral:rRNA from 1 species